GGGAGGAUUUAGGAAUUUUUAGAGAGGAAAAAAUAAAUCAGUCACCUGUAGAAGAAGAGAGAUAAAACUGACAUUAGAUUUCUCAUUAGCAUCACCGGAGCAAAUCCUGAAAACUCCUUAGGGAAAUUACUUUUUCUUUUGAGAUUUAUUAUGGAAAAUUCCAAACAUCAACAAAACUUGAAAGCAUCGUAUACCAGAUGCACUGUGUCCGUCACCAAGAGUCGUCAAUUGAUGGCCAAAUUUGGUUCAUCUACACUCCUACUGACCACCCUCUCUCCCGGUGCCUUGGUUAUUUUGAGGCAAAUUCCAGGCAUCUUAGCAUUUCAUCUGUAACUAUUUAAGUGUGUAUCUCUAAAAGGUAAGGAUUCUUAGGGAGACACAAACUACAGUACCAUUUUCAUGCCUAAAACUGCUGACAAUAAUUGUUCAGUACCAGCAAGUAUUCAGAUGUUGCUCAUUGUUUCAUAAAUGUGUGUGUGCGUGUAUUUUAAUAGAUUGUUUAAAUCAGGAUCCAAGUAAGGUCCAUAUAUUGCAAUUUGUUGAUCUCGUCUUUUUUACAUCUUUAUGGCCCCCAAAUCUUAUUUUUUCCCGUGGGAAAAAUUUGUUGGAGUGUCUGGGUCCUUUGUCCGGCCGAGGUUCCCACAGUCUGGACUUUGCUGAGUGUGGACGUGUUGUGUUAUUCCCGUGUUUACCCCACGUGUUUGAAAAUUGAUAGAUCAAGAGCCUUGAUCAAAUUCAGGUUUCUUUCCCCUACCCCACCCCACCCCACAGACUAUUUCAUUAUUAGUAGUGUGUACUUCUGUCAGGAGCAACAUAUGUGUCUGGAUGUCUCUUCUGUUGUGAUGUUAGCGCUAUUGAUUAUUGCACAGAUCCGAUCAUUCACCAGGUGGUACAAAAUGGGAAUCUAUCAUUUCUUCCUCCUGUAUUAGCAACACUCUUCCCCAAAUAGAAGCUUUCUCUCAUCAACUGUUUCACACCUGGAGGUACAGUUGGUGUUGGCAAGGCAGAAAAAAAAUGCUUUAACUUUUUCUUUUUAAAAUAAGUUAAGGAGGAGUUCCUGCUGUGGCACAGUGGGAUCAGUGGCAUCUCUGGAGCACUGGGAUGCAGGCUUGAUCCCCAGCCCGGCACAGUGGUUUAAGGAUCUGGCACUGCCACCGCUGCUGCAUAGGUGGCAACUGCAGCUCGGAUCUAAUCCUGGCCUCGGAACUCCAUAUGCCUCAGGGUGGCCAAAAAAAAAAAAAGUUAUUUUUUUCCAAAUUUAUGAAGAUAUAAUUGACAUAUAAUACCAUGCGAGUGUAAGGUGUACAAUGUGAUGAUUUGAUACAGAUAUGUAUUUCAAAAUAAUUACCACAAUAAGGGUAGUGAACACAUCCGGCAACUCAGGUAAUUGCCAUUAUUAAUUUUUGUGGUGAAAACGUUUAAAAUCUACUCUCUUAGCAACUUUCACACAUACACUACAGUCACCAUGCUGUAUGUUAGAUCCCCAGAAUUUAUCCAUCUUAUAACUAGAAGUUUUUACCCUUUGAUCCGCGUCUCUGUAUUUCCCCAGCCCCCAGCUCUGGCAACCAAGAGGCUGCUCUGUUUCUAAGUUAGUCGUUUUUCUUUAGUUUUCUCUAGCAUCCUCUACAGAUUUCAAAGAGUUGGUUUUUUGAGGCUCAUUUUAACUCCCUGCAGUUACUAUUCUUAUUAAUACUCAUAUUGUCCCAUCUUUAGCUAAUGGGAGCCUCUUGAAGUUGGUUCCAUUGUCCCUUUACUCAACAGUAACACUCAUUAAUAGCUUCCUUAACUUCAUACGACAAGAUGUCCCAGGCUUACCUUGAAAAUUUCCUACCCCAAACUGGUAACCAGCCAAAUUCUCCAAAAGCCCUGAUUCCUUUGGUGGGAAAUGAUAUUUAGGAACCACCGUUUGGUUGCUGGGGUGCUCAGUGCCACUAGGUUGAUUUCCCACCCCACCCCCCACCAAGGAAGAAAUAAUUUCCUAUCUGGAAUUCUAGAUCCAGCUAAGCUAUUCUAGUUAGGAGGACAAAAAAUAUCUUUAGACAUGCAAGGAGUCAGAAAAUUGACCAUCCAUUCUCCGUGGUAGGAAGCAUGUCAGAAAUAGAAAGAAUCAAUCAAGAAAGAGAAAGAUUUGGAAUGUAGGAAAUAGUGGAGCCAGUCCCAGGCAAAGAGCUGCCCAGACCAACAGCGAUACAUCAGUCUGGAGGAUGGGUAGCUUCAGAAAUAGAUCUCUCUGGUAAAGGGGAAAACAAGUAGAAAAUAUGACCACGUGGUUGGGUGUGGAAGAGCCGAGCCGCGGUGAAAAGCAGGUCAGCACGUAAAAACUGACCUUGGCUGGGAACAAAGUGGGGCAUCUCAGGGACCUUAGGUGAAUUCCCUUCGGGCACAGAUUGGAUCAGGGAGGAAGCUGGGUCUUAGCUCCCCCCUUGAGACACAGAGUGAAUGUUGGUGUCCCUUCCCAUGUCUGAUGGCCAAAGUGGGUACACUGAGGCUCUGGGCAGGUUUUAUUUUGUAAUUUCUUUCUUUCUUUUUAAACUUUGAAGUUAGGUCUUCAUUUGUAUCUUGGAACAUCCUGAACAUACCUAUUUAGGUUCUUGACAUACUGUCCCUUAAAUGUAAUUUCUUUUUUUUUGGUGUGUGUGUCUUUUUGCUAUUUCUUGGGCUGCUCCCGCGGCAUAUGGAGGUUCCCAGGCUAGGGGUCCAAUCGGAGCUGUAGUCCCCAGCCUACACCAGAGCCACAGCAACGCAGGAUCCGAGCCGCGUCUGCAACCUACACCACAGCUCACGGCAACGCCGGAUCGUUAACCCACUGAGCAAGGGCAGGGACCGAACCCGCAACCUCAUGGUUCCUAGUCGGAUUCGUUAGCCACUGCGCCACGACGGGAACUCCUUAAAUGUAAUUUCUAUACGGAGUGAAUUCAUGCUUUGACUACUAAAUGAACUAAUUGUUUUUCUCGACAUUAGAUUUCUUCAUAUUUUGAAAACGUACUUUGCAGCCAGGCUCAUUUUGAGUAGGAACAGUUUUUCCCCCCCAUUUAUUGGUUUUGAUUUGAUUUUGGCCCCCACUGGGUUCCACUCUCUCUUCCCUGGCCCCGCAGUCCAGCAGUUGUCAGUUACUUCUGUGGUAGCCAAGAGGUGGGACGACAGCGCUCUCAUGUGCUCUGUGGUGAUACCACGUGUGCUGCAGACCAGGGAAGGAGGUUGCAUGUAGCUUGGCUGGACUCCUGGUCAGGAAGCUGGCUUUCUGUCCCCAUCACUUACCUCCCUAGGUCCUCAGCUCCCUGUAAUCCACCCUCCAGCACCAGAUGUGCAGCCCUGUUCCCAGCUCUGUUUCACCCAGUGAGUCUGCCUUGGGUCCUUUUCUCACAGGAGCCCUUGGGGUGUCCUCUCCCCACCCAGAACUGAGCUCCCAGGAUCUCCCACAAAUUUUCAGCUCUAGAGCCCAUGAGGCCUUUGCUUCUAAUUACAUUAUUUCUGCUUAUUUUUGGUCUAUAGAGAUGUUAACCUUGCUUUUUGAGGCUAGUUCUGUCUUUUUAGAAUGUUCUAUUUACAAUUUUAUCUUCAUUACUUUGUGAUCCAAGCAAAGAGUAUGAAUGCAAAUUUGCUGUGAUAGCUUGCCCAAAUCAAUGUGAUUUUUAUUAUUUCCCCUUAACUCUAUUCCCUUUAUCCUAUUUGUCCAUUCCAUGUCCAUUCUCUUCUUUUUCUCCAAUAGAAUCUCUGUGUUGUGGGGGGAUACUAAUGUGCCCCAACUACAUUUCCCAGCCUCCCCUGUAGACACAAAUAGCCAAUUAGAUGUAAGGAAAAAAUUGUGUGGCUUCCAGGAAAGCUCUUUAAAAGGAGCUGAUUCAGCUGCAAGGUACAUCAUUUUGCUCAUUGACUCUUCUUUUUCUUAUGCCUGGAAUGCAGAUGUGAUGGCUAGGGGUCAGCUGCCAUUUUGGGACAAUGAAGUCACUUCAAAGAUGGAAGCCACAUGCUGUGAUGAAUGGCCCUGCAGAACAAGAGCAAGAGUCUGGGGUUCCAAUAGCAAGAACCAAGGUGGCCUGGGUGGUGGGGACAUAGCCAUAGCCUUUCCCUGUUUCUUAACUGGAACUUCCCAGUUAGGAUGACCAAUUGGACAUGUCAGCUGCUGGGACUCCAGCUGCUACUUCUAGGAGUCAUUUUUCAACUUGUCCUCUGUACCUACCUCAUUCUCUCAAGACUGGCUGAGCCUUGAUCAUGGGUGCAUUUCUUGGCUGCUGGCUUCUUUACCUGGCCCCUUUGGCAUCUAUGGUGGAACAUGGGCACUGCAUCCCAUUAAGACUCACAACAAAGGACUCCUCCCUAUAGAGUCAAAAACUAUAGGUAACAUCUGCUGUGGCCUUGUCGUAACUGAUACAUCUGGGAAGUCAUGGUGGGGAUUCCUUCCCCCUGACCAGGUGAACUAUGACUCUUUCCUAUUCCUACCAAGGUAGAUGAGGAAGAGAAGACAGGGACAGGCUCAGGUCUUGGCAGGUGUCCCUGCCUUUCCAGAAUUUUCUUAUUCUCCAUAAUCCAGGCUCUCGUGCAAAUCCUUGGAGGCCCCUUUUCUUUGAUCCUGGUUCUCGGACCCUGGCCUUAACCUCCAUCUCAUCUGUCACCUCUCCCCAGUUCUCCCAUCCCAAACCCAGUCCUUUACAACAUCCAGUGCACACAGGUGUGACUGCACCGUUCCUUCAAGGACUUCCUUUCCAGGUGGUCAGCCCAUUCUUAGAGGGCCUGGGCCAAGUGCCACCUACUUACUUCUGUCCCUCAGUGCAGGUCAGCUGAGAACUAUUCCUGGGACUGGUCAGGCUUUCCUGGACCACCUGGCCAAGAGGCUGAUGCUCCUGCUUUGUCCCCUUCAGGAUUUCUUUCUAGGCAGAAACGGCAACAUGCAGGCCAGGCAACCAAAAUGUGGAGGUCAUUUAUUUCCACUUGUUGUGCUCAUUUGUGAAUCUGGUGGCUGUACAUUGCACGGCUUGCAGAAAACCCAGUGUCUCCAUGACUGUGUUUGCCAGCACAAUGCCCGAAGCAAUAGGAAGAUACACUUUCCUUUCCUCCACCUGCUAAAUAUCACAGUGCAUCUAACUGGCAGAGCCUAAUUUGAAUCCAGAAUCCUAGCAGCAAGGGAGUCUGGGAAAUGCAGCAUUUAGCUUUCCAGCCUCAGGAGUACAAGACACACUAGACGGAGUGAGAAUGGGUAUGCGUGCCCCCUCACUAUAUCCUUACCCCCUGUUGUCAAUAGGGGACCCUCACAGGAGGCUGCUUGUGGACACUGUGGUUUGUGGGAUGUGGCUUCCUAGUCCCCAGUGUUGAAAUGUGUCAGUCCUGCCCAGAACAUGGAUGAAGCUACAGGCCAAAGACCAGCAAACACUACAGUUUCCAUACACAGAAGGUUCUGGGUCUAUUUGUGUGAAUUAUCCCAGUUUUUGUGAGACUUGGUAUCUCUUCUGAGAGUGUCAUCAGAGAACUAAGGAAACUUGGCAGAAAGGUCAGAACACAUCUAUUCUUCUCCCUCUGGACAAUAUUAACCACUUCAUCCAGAGGCUCUUCCUAAUGUUCUGGACCCUUGCAGUAGAAUCACAUGCAGAGUCUUUCUUCUCAUUUUAAAAAUCGAGGUGAAGGGAGUUCCUGCCGUGGCUCAGUGGUUAACGAAUCUGACUAGGAACCAUGAGGUUGCGGGUUCGAUCCCUGGCCUCGCUCCGUGGGUUAAGGAUCUGGCGUUGCCAUGAGCUGAGGGGUAGGUCGCAGACACGGCUUGGAUCUGGCGUGGCUGUGGUGUAGGCCAUCGGCUACAGCUCUGAUUCGACCUCUAGUCUGGAAACCUCCAUAUGCUGUGGGUAUGGUCCUAAAAAGGACAAAAGACCAAAAAAAAAAAAAAAAAGAAAAAAA
rnacentral:lncRNA from 1 species